GACAGUUACCAGCCUCACAGUGAUCUGACUCGUUUUUCUGUUUAAAACAUUCUGAAACUUCUAUGGAGACUUAUCUGAUGCCACCUAUAUAUAAUGACCUAGAUUUUAAAAACAGUUGGGAAGCAGACGUCUGGAAAUCUGCUGUGAAUUUUAACAUUUUCCAUACAAAGAUCGAGUGUUAACCUGCAGUUUGUUUUCCCAUUAGGAAAGACUGAAAUGCUUUCAGGACUUCUCAGCUGUAUAAUGAGGAUCAUCUUGUUUGGGAUAUAACCACGGAGUAACAACAGGGUCAUGCUUUCUCUGUCGGAUUCCUGUCUCAAAGGAGAUCCAGAGCUUUUGGAAACCAGCGUAUACAUGCAUCAGAGGGAAGUGGAAUUUACUAUCUGCACUCUUCUCCCACUGUUUCACUGAAACCUUUGUGAAUCUCAGCCUCGUUGUGAAAUCAGUGCUUGUUCUCAUUCCUGCAAAGCUCUCAAGUGCAAUCCCUGUUACACAAACAAGCCCGACAUCAGACACAACAGUUAUGUCUUGAGAAAUAUUCGGCUAGAUCAUCUUUCACCAGGGCAAAUGAAGACCAGGAAAGGUAAAACACUACAAAUAAAGUGUGUUAUCCAUAUUAGCAGAUGUCGGAG
ensembl:lncRNA